UGGGUCCCGAAUCGCCGCGGAUCCGGUUUGCUAUUUCUACAACUGUUGCAGAAGAUAUAAACAUAAAUUGUUUAUACAUUAAACUUUACACACUAUUCCCAAAAUCGAGUAACCUUAACUAAUACACAAUCGUGAACUAUCUAACACAUGACAAUACUAUUCUUCAACAUACUUUACAACUUAACUUCACAUUUUAUCCCAAGCUGAACUUGGCAUUAUCCUUUUCCUGUAUCUGGCCGUAUUCGCCUUAUCUGCAAUGUUUUAUCAUGAUAUAGCAAGGGUGAGCAUGAAAGUUGCCCA
rnacentral:lncRNA from 1 species